AUUGUCCAUGGAUUCACUAUUUAGGACAUAUAUCGUUUAUUGAGAUAGUCCUAAUUAGUAUCUUUUCCAUUUGAUGUAUAAGAAUCAUCUAUACAUCCAUUCAUUUGUCCUGAAAGGUUUCUUCCAAAGAUUGACUUUCAGGGCAUAUUUCCAACACUGUGACCAAAAGGCACUGCACAGCAUAAACACAUUGCAGUCUUUUGCAUAGCACCACAUGGUAAACAAUGACGCACUGCAACAAGCUUUAAGCAGCAGCAACAAGCAAAACCCACGGCAAAAGCUUCGAGCAAGCCCACAGCAAGGAAUUGUGUGUGUGAAAAAAUACACACCCAAUGGUCUUCCUAAUGCUAGAAGGAAAAUACAUACCCAAAUAGCAAAAGAAAAAUCAAAACAAGGAAGCAAAUUCCAAGCAAACAAUGGAAACUUUCAGCCAAUCUGCGCAAGCAGGAUGUUUUUGGUGAUAAUUCAACUUUCCGAAGGAUUUUUGAUGCAAGACCAAUUGGAGAAGGAAGCUAAGUGGCUGAGGAUCAUUGUAUCCAAAUUUCAUAAUUUUCCCUAAAGCCAAACGUUCCAGUUUUCAAAGUUAUUCCUGCAGAAGUUGUUUUCCCGUUAGGAUUGCGCAGCUGUGCGAAAAUGAAAAGUUGAAGAGUUUCCUGAUUUUUCCUAGUGGCAUGUGAUAUAUUCCUGAAAAGAUAAGGGAUAAAGAUACGUUUACCAUAUUUUUACAUAAUUGUUCAGUAGAGAAAUCAAACAAAAAAAAGGAAAGGAAAAAUACCUCCUUGCCGUGGGGAAUCAAAAGCAAAAAAAAUAAAAAUCCCACCUUGCUAUGGGAAAUCAAAAAAGGGGAAAGAAAACUCCUUCGUUGCCAUGGUAAAUAAAAAAAGGAAAGAAAAUUGUCCACCUUGCCAUGGAAAUCAAAGCAAAGAACAAAACAUCUCCUUCCUUGCCAUGAAAAAAUAAAUAAAUAAAGAGGAAACAAAAAACAAUCCUCUUUGCUGUGGUGUAAGAUCCCACAUCACCCGGGGGAGAGGGGGUGAUGUGCCUUAUAAGUACAUGACCACCUCCCUAUAGUGAGACUCAUUUUGGGUGGAAGCCCAAAAACAAAACCAUGAGGGCGUAGCCCAAAGCGAACAAUAUCUUACUAUGCGGACUGAGAUGUGUCAAUUUGGUAUCAGAGUCAGUCCACGCCCGUAAGUGUGCCGACUAGGAUGUCCGGCCCCUAAGGGGGGUGGAUUGUAAGAUCCCACAUCACCUAGGGGAGAAGGGGUGAUGUGCCUUAUAUGUAAGAUCCCACAUCACCCGGGGGUGAGGGGGUGAUGUGCCUUAUAUGUACAUGCCCACCUCCCUAUAGUGAGACGCGUUUUGGGUGGAAGCCCAAGAACAAAACCGUGAGGGCAGGGAACAAAGCAAACAAUAUCUUACUAUGCGGUCUAGGAUGUGUCAAUUUGGUAUCAUAGCCACUCCCCGGCCGGAAAUGAGCCGACGAGGACGUCAGGCCCCUAAGGGGGGUGGAUUGUAAGAUCCCACAUCGCCCGGGGGAGAGGGGGUGAUGUGCCUUAUAUGUUCAAGCCCACGUCCCUAUAGUGAGACGCGUUUUGGGUGGAAGCCCAAGAACAAAACCGUGAGGGUACGGCCCAAAGCGGACAAUAUCUUACUAUGCGGACUGGGAUGUGUCAUGCGGGGAAGAAAGAAGGAAAGAAAAAAGCACAUCCUACUUACCUAAGGGCAAGCAAUAAAUCCUUCCAAAACCUUGAAGGAAAUCACCAAAGCUUUCCAACACUUUCAAGGGAGUCACCCUCAUUACCAUAAUUGAAGGGGAUUCCUAUCGAAUGAAGGAAAACAUUUUUCCUACAACCACAAGGAAAAAUUCAAAAUGCGCCAAAUGUAUUUUGUCAAAGAUUAUGGAAAAUCAAAUAUGCACAAUAAGUAUAUGCUGAUUUAUCCAUUUUCAAAAUUUCUUUCAAGAUUAAGCCUCUACGGCCUUUGAAGAAAAUUUUCAUUUCAUUCAAGAUCAAGCCCCAAUGGCCCUUGAAGAAAUGUUUUGUCCAAAAAAUACGCCUCAAUGGCCCUUAAUGAAAUUCAUCAUCUCAAUUCAAGAUCAAGCCUCUACUACCCUUGAAAAAAUGUUUCGUCCAAGAAAUACACCUCAAUGGCCCUUGAAGAAAUGUUUCGUUCAAAAUCAAGCCUCUACGGCCCUCGAAAAAGCAAGCUAAUUCAAGAUCAAGCCUCAACGACCCUUGAAUUAGAACAUUCACAUUACAGGACUUCAAAACAUGUUUGCUCCAUGUGACAAGCACAUGCCUACAACAUGCCUUGAAGUGGGGGCAUUUAUAGACAUGUAAAUUUCGUUGUAUACAAAUGAUGCAUCACAAAGCUCCACGUGGCAUAUGAUUCAUCACAAAUGGAUAAGUCAUCAAUGACAUAUGGCACAAAUCAAGCAAAGGAAAUAUAAAUGUUGGAAAUGUGCCCUAAAGCCAAUCAUAUGAGGAUACUUUACGGACAUUUCACGUGUUAAGCUAAUCUAGUUUAAUAUAAAUGGAAAAAAUUAUUGUUUAAAUCUGUCUCAUAUAAAUGUUAUAUGCUUAAACAAUAAGUCCAAGGAAUAUGUAAUUGGGAGAAUGUGAUCUAUUAGAUUCAUGAGACCAUACUCUUUCGUACACAUAUCCUAAACAUUCAUGAUCAUAGGAUUGCCAAUUGGGCAUUGACAGUCUGUUAAGAUCAGUAUGUGCUAUGUCUUCUCUUAUAAAGAGUGACUGGUCUCAAGUCAUUGGUGUGACUAACACCAAGGCAAGCAUGUAGGUGCUCAAUAGAGAAUGAGUCCACUAAACACAAUCAACGAGGAGUUUUCAUACUCAUGUCACAUGAGAACUCAUGGUUUGGAUAAUGCAAAGUAGUCUUUUAACCUGAGGCAUCAUAGUUGUCUUGUGGUUAGGUCCUUGAUCUUUGACUAUGUCAAAGUCACUCCGUUAGAGGGUGUCCACGAAAUAGUUGGGGUUAUGCCACUUAGCCAUGAGGCAAGUGAAUGCGCAACAAGGGAUCUCUAGCCUUCAAACCAUUUAAGGGAGAACACUCUAUGAUAUGAUUAAGAAUCUCUGGCCAAAGUAUGAAUGAGAUUUAGGAAGUCAUUCCAAAUCACAUUCAAGGUAAUCAUAAAAGUAAGAGAAUCACACUGGAUAGUAGGCAUGAAUAAAAUAUCAAACCAAACAAUGUGGUCAAGAGAAUUGCAUUAAAGAGAGACCGUAUUGCAUUAUAAUCCUAAAUUGGAUAGGUUCUCCACCUUUUCUGAUUAGCUUGGGUAGCCAAGACAUACUGCUAGGUGUCACUCAUGGUUUGUGGAAGCCCUAAAGGUGUUUAAUCACUAAAGGGAGAAUUGAAAGUAAGUCUUAAUUCACAAUCAAUUUGAAGAGUUCUAAUUGCCCACUACCUCGCUGAAAGGAAUCUAAUGGAUCGUACAUCGAGUAAGGUAAAGAUUGAAGAAACAAUGGAGAUGAGUAAGAAUAAUUAAAUGGUUUAAUCAUUUAUGGCUAAGAUUAAUUAAUAUCUUAAUUAAUCAAAUGAAUAAGUUCGUUAUAGACCUCGAGUUAGUUUUGGGCCACAAGGCCCAAUGGGAUUUGAAUGUCAAGCCCAUUAACUCAAGUUGUAUGACAACUUGAAAACACAAAGGGCAUCAAAGCCCAAUAAACCCAUCAAGGCCGGGCAUAGGGUGAAGGUUGGGCAAACUUGUGUUAAUUGCAAGUUUGCCACUCCAUUGUGAGGUGGUAUAAAGGCAACUUUAUAGCCAUUUCAUCCUAAGGGUUUUCUUUGAGGAAAUUGGAGAGAAUAGAAGCUUUCCUUUUCUCUCUAAGAGGCCGGUUACCCUAGAGAAAAAUAGCUAGCAAUCUUUCUUCCUCUAGGUCACUCAUCUCUUCCUCAAUGCUCUCCUUGGUGUGGAGACUUAGAGGUUCUCUAUUUUGGGAACUUGGAGAAUCCAAAUCCUUCAUCCAUCCUAGAUGUCAUGGAGCCAAAAAGCAAAGUUCCACCAUCCACAUCCAUGGAGCCAAGGAGCAAGGAGACUAAGGAAGAAGGCCCUCACAUGGGUGAAUAUCCUUUGCUAAGCAAAGAGGUAUUUCAAACGUAUAAAAGUUUCUCAACUCUUUUCUUUAAAAUUUGAGUUGAGUCUUGAUUCUCUACAACUACUAGGCCUUGAAUUUCAUAGGUAAAGUUUUGUUUUUGAGUGCAUACAAGCAUGAUUCCGCCUUUAAUUGUUAAUUGCAUGCAUAGAUGUUGCUCAAAUGAACUUGUUUUCACAAAUAUUUCCUUCAAUAAAAUCUUCCUAAAAAUCGGCACAAAGGAGAAAACUCCCUUAAAUUCGGCAAAAGGGUCUAGAUUAGUCCAAAAACCAAAAAGAAAGUUAAGGCAUCUUCAUAAAACAAGCAAGAAUUGAAGCUUGCUCACAAAAUAGGCAACAAGGCCUCCUAAUUUCAGCUGAGGGAGUAAAGUGGCUGAAAUUAAGACACAAAACAUGCCUAAAUUCUCCCAUGGACAAAUUAGGACAUAAAUCAAAGCCAAAGACACCCAAAGGCAAGCCUUGAGAAACCUAUAAAUAUAAGGUCAUCCCAAAAGCAUAAGGGUCAAAAAAUCUCUACACAUAAGAACCUCUACACAAAUCAUUGAAGACAAAUACGUUGUCAAAGCUCUCUUCAAAGAACAAUCAACCAAAGCCGAAGCUUUCUCUCGACCAAAGUUGAAGCACUCCCCUUGAAGAAUCAACAAGCAUUUGUGUCGAUUCCUUCAAGACGUUGUUGAAGGAAAAAUUUUGUCCUAGCUAAGAACAAGUAUGAACAUUUGAAUACACAUGCAAGCUAUUAACACUUUAAAGUAGGCAUGCAUCCAAAAACAAUUCAUAAAACCCAUGACUUUCAAAGCCUAGUAUAUGGUGAACCAAAAUAAACUCUUUAACAACAUUAAAGAUAAGUAAAGAUUUAGUGAUUCUUUACCCUUGAAGCUCAUCCUUGAUUACACAAGGGAUUCACCCAAGUGGAGG
rnacentral:lncRNA from 1 species